rnacentral:rRNA from 1 species
GACGGGGACCCGCACAAGCGGUGGAUGAUGUGGAUUAAUUCGAUGCAACGCGAAAACCUUACCUACCCUUGACAUGUCUGGAACCUUGGUGAGAGCCGAGGGUGCCUUCGGGAGCCAGAACACAGGUGCUGCAUGGCUGUCGUCAGCUCGUGUCGUGAGAUGUUGGGUUAAGUCCCGCAACGAGCGCAACCCUUGUCACUAGUUGCCAUCAUUUAGUUGGGCACUCUAGUGAGACUGCCGGUGACAAACCGGAGGAAGGUGGGGAUGACGUCAAGUCCUCAUGGCCCUUAUGGGUAGGGCUUCACACGUCAUACAAUGGCUGGUACAAAGGGUUGCCAACCCGCGAGGGGGAGCCAAUCCCAUAAAGCCAGUCGUAGUCCGGAUCGCAGUCUGCAACUCGACUGCGUGAAGUCGGAAUCGCUAGUAAUCGUGGAUCAGCAUGUCACGGUGAAUACGUUCCCGGGUCUU